AUUAGUGCAGAUGCAACAGUGGCAGAGAAGAAAGGUUCCAUGACCAUUUAUUAAUUUAUAAGUUUUGUUAUUCUUGUCUUACCUUUUAUCUACAUUAUCUUCUUUAUUCUUAUCUUAGCCAGUAUCUUUCAUUUUAGUGUUUCAAAUCCAUCUUCAGCUUCUUUUUUCAUAGAUUGCUAUCCCUUCCUUUCUCUGCUCUCCUGCAUCCCUCAAGCUGUUCAUUCUUCAGAUUUUUCAAUACUGCUGCAACUAUAUCCCCAUACAUAAAAUUUCCUGCAAAAUUAGACCCACAAUUAUUACAGCUUCACAUUUUCCUUGAUAUGCUUAAUGGCUUUAAAAACAUCAGAGGCAGCAAAAAUAAAGAUAACAUUUCAUGCUCGAUCUACAUUUGUUAUUUACAUUCAUCACUUUAGGAGGAAUGUAAGCAAAAUAGGUUGUGUUGUUUUAUGAUUGCAUUAGUUUGUUUUUAUAAUGCUCCACAAAGAAGUAUAGUUUUUUUUCUGAGUCUACAGUGGAAAACCUGGAAUGUAAGUCUGAAUUGUGUGUUACAGCUUUAAAUUUUACAAAAAGCUUUACUUUGCCAAGCCAUGUGUGGAGCAGCGAUUGGAGUGAACAACAGGGACUUUUGUGGAAAGAAUACAGCGAAAAUGAUGCUCUAAUGCAGAUCAGUGGUACGAAAUCAACAAAGAAGAAAGAAGAUACAUCAUGGUUAAAUCAGAUUACAGAUUUCCUUUUUGUAUAUCCGCUGAGAACACUGAAUUGAGAGCAUUCAAAUGUUUAUGGGCCAAUGUUUCCCCUUGAUAUACAUUACUGUAUUUCCUUGGAUUU
rnacentral:lncRNA from 1 species